UGAAUGAUCUAACCUACAUCCCCAUCACUCAUAGCGAUCUCCGGGUCAAUUCUGGAUAAAAGACACUGGGGAAUUUAAGGGGGAAAUCAAUCUCCAUGCCUGGCUCUCCAGAAGGAAAAGAGGGGGCAGACUAAACCACGGAGCAGACUCAUCUGCAGGCCAGACUUCUGAGUGAGCAGCCAUGAGAUUGUGCCUUCAGGCUGAAAGAGACCCACGACCCAGUAAUCCAGUUCUCUGGGGAGGCGGCUCUGGGAACUAUGAGACCAUUUCUCUCCUCCAGAGUGAAGAGGUAGGUAAGGUGAAAUGGCACUUCAACUGAGGCAAUUAAAGACUGCUUACAUCAUUCUCAUUUAUCGGCAUGA